UCUGUGUCAGAAAUGGGGAGAAAGAUUAAAUAUAUAUUUCUUAUUAUAUAUCACAAUACAUAAACUGCAAUCCACCCCCUGGUCUUUCAAACACACAUCUCCAAUAGCAAAACAAUCACGAGUCCAAAGAUACUGGCACGUUACUGGACUCUCAUUCAGUCAUUAAUAACUCUCCAGUCCAGCACCCUGUCCUCUGAGUGUCUCCCAGGCCGAGGUCACUCAGGUUUGCAGGCUUCCACUCCAUCUUGCCAGGUUCCAUAGCAGGAGUGGUCUCAGCAGUACAUAGCUUCCCCCUUCAGGCGUCUGGCAUCAUCGAGCUAAGAGAUAGUAUGUCUCUGGCCCUGAGCCCCUUUUGAGAUGUUAACGUAACAUGGGUUUUCCCUCAUUACACACCCACUUAUUCACUCCCUUACCCUCCGUUACUGUUUGUCUCUCUCUCCAUUUAUACCCAAACUUUCCCACCUUCAGCAGGGACAUUCGGUUCGGCCACCAUGCUGGGCUGGACUGCAGGCAGCCACGCUAGUCUAGCACGUCCCUCUCCCUCAGUCCACUGCCUGUCGGAGAAGCGAAGGUGCCACAGGCGCAGAACCAGCGGGCUGUCCCCCGCCCCGGGCAGCACGGCUGCCUGCGCCGUCAGCCGCAGUGUUGCCGGAUGGGGGAGGCACGUCCUGCCCCAUCAGGCCCUUAGGAAUUCUGUCUGACAGAGGGGUUAAAAACAUAGUUACCAUUUCUUGCUUAGGAAUCACUUCUGCUCCCAGCCCUUGGAGUUGCAGCCCUGGUCCUGUGACCACUGCAUCAAGCAGGGGGGAAAAAGUUGAGGUGAUGUGGGGCGGAACAACACCAGCACGGCCCCACCCCGUCUUCUCCAGAUCCACCAGGAAAAGAGAGAAAUCCAUCCCGUGGGGACUCUCCUUCAGCCCCACUCAUGUUCAUGUUGAGUGUGAGCGCACACUCGUGAAGGCGUGUAAGCCAGCCCUUCUUGCUUUUAUCUCCCCGUUUUAGACAGCCCACGUUUUCUGUGCCUGUUCCCAUUCUCUACGGAACUAGUCCCCUGAGGGAGCUCUCUGGCCAUUGUUGGACAUUACGGGCUGCAGAGUGAGUCCCAUGGUCUGGAGAAAUGACGGUCAGUUGUCCAAACGGGCGCAGUAUCUUCUGUUCCGGUUCCUUCACAAUCCUCUGAGCAUUUGCACCUACGCCAGGCAAGCAAAGCCCAGUCUAGAGUCGGUGUCGACUCCUGUGAGGACUCGCUCGUAGACCCAGGGCUGCCAGCAUCAGUCUCACUCGCCAGCUAAGCUCAGGGCUUCCCACCAGGGACUCUGCCGCAUGGCCAUCUGCAGUCUCUGCCUCUCUCGCUGGCAGACAGAACAGUGCUUAUUGGCCUUUUGGGCCUCAGAGGGUGCAAGAGGACUGUUUCUAGAAUCAGCCCGUUGCUGCGGUGUCCUCAUGUCCGCUCAUCUCACGGACUCAGGUGACCGUCUCAAGCAGGUACACAAGGACAUCUGCUUGUUUGUUCCAGUCACCUUCCAGACCUGGAUGGGAGUUCUUCUGAUGGGCGUUGGCAUGUCCUACUCUAAUGCACCCUCAAAUUCCCAUGGGGCUGUGCCCCAUACAGGCAUCCCUUUAAUAGGCCAGGUUUCCAUUGCCCUCCUGCCUGACCAUAUGGCCAGGCCAUUGGCCACUGCCGUGAGUCAGUAAAAACCCAAACAUAGGCGCUUUUACCAGUGCUCGAUUCUUCCAUCACUGCAGGAAAACAGCAUGCAGUUCCGCCCACCGAGCUGAUUUGUUUUUACCUCCUUCCAUCAGAGUGGCAGCCUUCCAAACAGGAUGUCCAUCCACGUGGAACUGGCGUCCACAAAACAAGCAGCUCUUUGUCGAUCAGCCGAGAGCUGUUUACAGGGCCCUGUCCAGGUGACGAUAGCAUCCUGCAGCUCCUCGCUCAGUUCCCAAGUCGGUCCUCGGGGAGAGGCUCCCUGCCCCCAGUGAACCAACUCCCCGGGAGCUGGAUCCACCUGAGUAACGGAUUGCAGCGCUGCUGCAGCUGCAGACCACGGUGACCACGUGGACACCAGGAAUCAAAGGUUGGAAAACUGCAAACCGGAUUCAGCUGUAGACACGGACAGGUGCUGCUGGUGCGAGGGUGAAGAAAUACUCCUGGGGGGAUGCUGACAGAAGCAGGAAGCUGACAAGAAGGAACAAGGAAGAACAGAAAGGAGUUGAAGUUCCUUCCCCCUCCUCCAGCCUUGGAGUCUCCCUCUAUCGCCCCCUAGGCGGAGUCUAACAGGGAGCCGCUGGCGAAGCCGAACCGUGCGUGGUGGAAUCUCAUUCCCGGAGUGAAAGGUAGAGUACAGAAGGGUGAGUGUGCAGUUUAAUAACUUAACAGCUUAAUAACAUGCACAAAGAUAAAGGGAACAGUCUCAUGAGUCCCGGUUUAUCUGUCACUCAUCUUCAACAGUUACUACUACUUUGGCUUUCUUGCUUCACUUAUUCCCCUCCACAUUCUCCCCCUGGAGUAUUUUAAAGCUAAUGACAUGAUUUCACCCAUAAAUACUUAAGUAUCUACCAGGAUAGGGACUUUAAGAGCACAAUACCAUUAUCACACCUAAUAAAAUUAACACUAAUUCCUUAAUAUCAUCUAAUACCCAGUCUGUGUUCAAAUUUUCCUGAUUGUCUCAAAAAGGGCUUUUCACAAUUGGUUUGUUAGAAUCAAGGCCCAAACAACGUCCGUGUAUCGUUUUGGUUAAUAUGUCUCUUAAGUCCCUUUUGAUCCAUAACCCUUCCUUCUCCCUUCCCUUUCUCUUUGGUAUCAUUAAUUCACCAAAGAAACUAUGUCAUUUGUCCUAUAGAAUGUCCCAUAUUCUAAAUUUGUCUGAUUGUAUCCUGUUGGUAUCAUUUAACGUGCUCCUCUGUCCCCUUUAUUUUCUGUAAGCUGGUAGUUACAUCUGGAGCCCUGGUCAGAUUCAGAUUCAAUUUUUUUGCAAGGAUAUUUUAUAGAAUGCUGUGUAUUUCUUAUUACUCCUCACUGGAAGACACAAUGAGAACUUUUUUAAAUUGAGGUAAAAUUAGUAAAUUGAGGUAUACUUUACCUACAAUAAAAUGCACAAAAAUUAAGUGAACAGCUUGAUGAAUAUUUACAUAUUAUGCAUCCAUGUGACCACCACUUAGAUCAAAAUAUUAAAGCAUUUCCAUAACCCCGACCAUUCCUUCAUGAAAUGGUGAUUCUCCAAUCCUGUCAUUCUUUCAGAGCUUGAAUUCUUUUAUAAUGAGCUUUCCCAUCAAUUCUGGAUCCUCUGAAAUACGCUCAGGCAGGAUAAAUGUUUCAUUUUUUUCCUUUCUUUGCCAAUUUUAUGAUUAAUAAAUUGGUGUCCUAGCUGCCUCCAAAAAGUGACCAGGGAGGUUUUAUUUAUUUUUUAGUAUCAUUAUAAACUCAUGGAGUUUUAAAAUAUUUGAUGUAUAAAUAUAUAUAUCACUUUGCAGUGAUUAUGUUUUUUGAUGCUCAUACUGUCCUAUCUUGGGGCCAUUGGGAACCCCUUAAAAAGUUGCUUCCUUAGUCUUUUAAUACGACUCUUGUAGUCUGUAAUUUCUAGUAAGACAGGAUAUUCCAGGUUCAUCUUUUACAUUUCCAGCAUUAGAACUGAAAUUAGCCAUUUCCCUAAGGAGUUCUGCAUGUUUGUUUUAAAUUAUAUUUAGUCACCACAAUCUGGGUGCUGGGUAUUUAUUGCUAUUAUGUGUCUUUUCAGUGCACAGAGCUCGGAAAGACAUUUUUUUAGAAAAAGAAAAAUAAAUUAUGAAUUAAUACUGCUAUUUCCAAUCCAAAUAAAAAAUUCAAGGAUUUUUACUUAAUUUCUUUGAUUUUGUGCUUGUAUCUCUUUUCUCUCAUGUAUAGAAUCUUGGUUCUUAGUGAUAUUGACAUAAUGACUUAUUUGCUUUAUUCUACCACAUAGCUAGAACAGUGUCAGGGUAACAGUACCAAUGUUGUUGCUAACAAUUAGACCACUGAAUGCCAUUUAAGAUUUAUGUGCAGUUCUUUUUGUCCUUAAGAUCCAGCCCACUAGAGAUGUACAGUAAAAAUACUGUGUUUGCAAGUCACUUGAAAUAAUUAUUCUCUGUGUAGUUUUGCCACUGACUUGAUAUAUAUUAGGUUCGCUUGUUUCAGUUCGUCUUCAAUUUUUCAGGACUACUUUUUUUUCUUUCCGAUUAUAUUCAGUUUUUAAAUUAUUUAAAACAAUUUUAUGGUUCCAAUGUGUAUUAGUGAUUUAUUGCUGCAUAAUAAAUUAAACCAAACUUCGCAGCUUAAAAUAACAAAUAUUUACUAUCCCACGGUUUCUGAGGGUCAGAAAUCUGGAAUAGCCUAGCUGGCUGGUUCUAGCUCAGAAUCUCUCAUGAAAGACAGCCAAGAUGUCAGCCAGGGCUGCCGUCAUCUUGAGGUUUAACUGGGGCUGUACGAACUGCUUCCAAGAUGGUUCGCCCGCGUGGCGGUUGGCAGACCUUAGAUCCUCACUACAUGGGACUGCUCAACGGGGCAACUGGCUUCCCCUAGAACGAGUGAUUCAAAAGAAAGAAAGAGCGAAACGUAAGGCACGUGGUCUUUCAGAGCCUAAUCUUAGAAGUUAGCAUCACUUCUACCAAAUUCUAUUGGUCACAGAGACCAACUCAGAGGGCACUUGCAAGGAUGUAAAUACCAGGGGGUGGGGAUCCUUGGGGCCAUCUUUUACACAAAGCAAAAAGAUAAAGCAAGGUAUAUUCAGAGAGGUCUAACUUUCAUCUUUGUGCUUUCCGCAUUCCCUCCCUCCCCAUCUAGGAAACCACUUUUAUUAGUUUUGUUUUAUCUUUCCAUUGUUUUGUUUUGAAAAAUAUCAGAAAAUAUGUGCCUAUGUUUAUAUUCACAAAAUAUAUUCCCUACUGUACAACUUUUCUGCACCUUGCUUUUUCCAGUUAAUACAUAUCCUACAGAUCACCUAACAGCAACACACAGAGAUUUUCCUUACUCCAUUUUACAAUUUCCUUAAACUCCAUUAUAUAGAUAUACUGUCAUUUAAGUAACAUUUUAAUGACUUUGUCAUUUAUUAAUUCUUCUCCAAUUUUUGGACAUCUAAGUUGCUUGUAAUUUUCAUCAUUAUAAAUAAUGCUGCAAUGAAUAUCUUUGUGUAUACAGGUUUUUCUGGAUGUAGGACUGUUAUCUUAGACUACUAGACUUCAUUAAGUCAAAGGUAUGAAUAAUUUUUAUGCCCUGUUUAUGUAUUGCUAAAUUGGCUCACAAAAGAGCUAUCCUGCAUUACAUUUCCACCUACUAUGUAUAGAUGCUCAUUUUCUCUGUAUUCUUGUCUGAAUUGAGUGGUCUAAUUCUUUUUAACCUAUACUAUUUUGACAGCUAUGCCUAAGUAUAGUCUUGUAAUGGCCAUGUAUUUUCACAUCAUGCUUUAGCACUAACUUAAUUUAUUUUAUUACUCUGUAUUUCAAAGAUAACUCUUACUAAUUUAGAAACUGUAUUAAAUAUUAUUUUUGAUUAUUUGAAUUUAUUUUUCUAUAUCUUUAACCUUAAGUGCAUGUGGACUUAGAGAAUAUUUUUCUGAGCUAGUAAAUAUUUAGUACUUACAUGCAAGACUAUAAUGUGUGUAAAAAUUAUGAACUGCAACAAUGAUUAUAUGAGUCAUAUAAAAUGCCAUAAAAAUUACUUCAGCAAUUUUUAGUACAACAUAUUCAUAUAUUUAGAGGUAGUAACAUUUUCAAGUUAUUUUGUCGGAUUUAUAGCACUAUGGUUUUAUUUUUGCUAUAAUAAUAGCUGUUAAUCCUUUUUCACUAAAAAUAUAAACUGGAAUUAGAGAUCUAUUAUUCAUGAACUACAUCUUCGUAAAAGUUUUUAAAACAGCACUGCCAUUUUCCCAGUAAGAUAGCUAUGGCAUAUGUUUCUAAAUUCACAUGUCAUCAUUCUUCAUUGGAUUAAUUAGCAAAAUUACUUUUUUCUCCUUCUUUUACCUUUUCGAAUGAUAUUUUUAAAAUAUUUUAGCACUUAU